GUCGUUCAGCUCAGUUGGUAGAGCACCUGCUUUGCAUGCAGAAGGUCCCGGGUUCAGUGCCCCCUGGCAUUUCCA